UGGGGACUGAGCCAUCAGUAGUGAUUUCAUGGAAACAUUUUAAAAUAUUGGUAAAGUUCUCCAGAUAUCCUUGUGGUGAGGAUUCCAGGUGUUUAAUUCAGUCUUGUAUGGCAGAAAUCCCCUUGCCUGCUUUGUACCCC
rnacentral:lncRNA from 12 species